ACCUCUCCGGUGGCCUAGUGGUUGGAGCGUCCGCCGGGGAUGCGGGAGGUCGUGUGUUUGAUCCCCAGCUGAGUUA